rnacentral:rRNA from 1 species
AAGGAAGAUUAAUACAAGAUGGCAUCAUGAGUCCGCAUGUUCACAUGAUUAAAGGUAUUCCGGUAGACGAUGGGGAUGCGUUCCAUUAGAUAGUAGGCGGGGUAACGGCCCACCUAGUCUUCGAUGGAUAGGGGUUCUGAGAGGAAGGUCCCCCACAUUGGAACUGAGACACGGUCCAAACUCCUACGGGAGGCAGCAGUGAGGAAUAUUGGUCAAUGGGCGAGAGCCUGAACCAGCCAAGUAGCGUGAAGGAUGACUGCCCUAUGGGUUGUAAACUUCUUUUAUAAAGGAAUAAAGUCGGGUAUGGAUACCCGUUUGCAUGUACUUUAUGAAUAAGGAUCGGCUAACUCCGUGCCAGCAGCCGCGGUAAUACGGAGGAUCCGAGCGUUAUCCGGAUUUAUUGGGUUUAAAGGGAGCGUAGAUGGAUGUUUAAGUCAGUUGUGAAAGUUUGCGGCUCAACCGUAAAAUUGCAGUUGAUACUGGAUAUCUUGAGUGCAGUUGAGGCAGGCGGAACUCGUGGUGUAGCGGUGAAAUGCUUAGAUAUCACGAAGAACUCCGAUUGCGAAGGCAGCCUGCUAAGCUGCAACUGACAUUGAGGCUCGAAAGUGUGGGUAUCAAACAGGAUUAGAUACCCUGGUAGUCCACACGGUAAACGAUGAAUACUCGCUGUUUGCGAUAUACUGCAAGCGGCCAAGCGAAAGCGUUAAGUAUUCCACCUGGGGAGUAC